AGCGUAUAUUAAAGUUGUUGCAGUUAAAACGUUCGUAGUUGAAUUUGUGUUCCACACGGGCAGUACACCUAAAUCUUGGGUUUGUACAUUGCCUUAAAAUUAAAAAUGUGUGUGAACGUAUUACCGGCUGAAUUUAUAUUUUUAAUAUGAAUUCACAUAUUAUAUGUCCUACUUCAGUGCUCUUAAUCGAGUGCUGUUGUGGGCCGGUACAAUUACUUUGAACAAAUUAGAGUGCUUAAAGCAGGCUUUUAAUGCCUGAAUAUUUGUGCAUGGAAUAAUGGAAGAGGACAUCUGUUCUAUUUUCUAUUGGUUUUUAGAUCAAGAUGUAAUGAUUAAUAGAAGCAGUUGGGGGCAUUAGUAUUACGACGCGAGAGGUGAAAUUCUUGGACCGUCGUAAGACUGACUAAAGCGAAAGCAUUUGCCAAAUAUGUUUUCAUUAAUCAAGAACGAAAGUUAGAGGUUCGAAGGCGAUCAGAUACCGCCCUAGUUCUAACCAUAAACGAUGUCAGCUAGCAAUUGAAUGUAGCUACUACUAUGGCUCUUUCAGACGCUUCUCGGGAAACCAAAGCUUUUGGGCUCCGGGGGAAGUAUGGUUGCAAAGCUGAAACUUAAAGGAAUUGACGGAAGGGCACCACCAGGAGUGGAGCCUGCGGCUUAAUUUGACUCAACACGGGAAAACUUACCAGGUCCGAACAUAAAUAAGUAAGACAGAUUGAUAGCUCUUUCUCGAAUCUAUGGGUGGUGGUGCAUGGGCCGUUCUUAGUUCGUGGAGUGAUUUGUCUGGUUAAUUCCGAUAACGAACGAGACUCAAAUAUAUUAAAUAGAUGCAUUCAGGAUUAUGGUGUUGAAGCUUAUAUGCUCGCCUGUUUUCGUUCCUCACGGUGCGUUUGCAGUUGUGUAUGUAUGUAAGUGGAGCCAUACCUGUUUGUUUGUCUAAUUAAAAAUAGACACUAGCUUCUUAAAUGGACAAAUUG
rnacentral:rRNA from 1 species